AAUAUUGGGCAAUGGAGGCAACCCUGACUCAGCCAUGCCGCGUGAAGUAUGAAGGCCUUCUGGGUUGUAAACUUCUUUUAUAUGGGAAGAAAGGACUCUUGCGAGAGGCGUUGACGGUACCAUAUGAAUAAGCACCGGCUAACUCUGUGCCAGCAGCCGCGGUAAUACGGAGGGUGCAAGCGUUGUCCGGAUUUAUUGGGUUUAAAGGGUGCGUAGGCGGCUUUAUAAGUCAGUGGUGAAAGACUGUGGCUCAACCAUAGAAUUGCCAUUGAUACUGUAGAGCUUGAGUAUAGUUGAGGUAGGCGGAAUUGACGGUGUAGCGGUGAAAUGCAUAGAUAUCGUCAGGAACACCGAUUGCGUAGGCAGCUUACUAAGCUAUAACUGACGCUGAGGCACGAAAGUGUGGGGAUCAAAC
rnacentral:rRNA from 1 species